rnacentral:sRNA from 1 species
ACUUUCAUUUUAAACACCAAAAGUAAAACUUGGCCUUUUUCUUUUCAUCCUUCAUGUUUAUCAGAGAGGAGAGAGAAACUGACAUUUAAGUAAAAAUAUGUCAUCUGCCAAAGCUGUGCUUGAAAGCCUUGUUUCAGAAAAUGACUACACCAAACUUCAGGACCUCAUUUUCUCCAGGUCAGCAAACAGCCUUGGGAAGUUAAUUGAAGUAGUAGGAGACCUUCCAGACAAAGAAUUUCCUCCAAAUAUCAAGAGAAUUACAAAAUUAAUCAAAAUUGCUCCAGAAAAGUGGUUAGAAGACUACUUUUGUGAAAUAUUAAAAUCAUCAAACGUCAAAGAAAAGUUGCAGCAUUUGAUUGGCCGUGCAUGUGUUCCGUGCAUUAAAGAACUUGAACAUAAGCCAUGUGACAAGGAGGACGUGGUAAAUUUACCUGAAAGAGCAGAGUUCGUAUUAGAAUUAGUUUGUUCUUUACUGUCCUUAGAUACUGACGAGGAUAACGUGAAACAUCUGGUUGCAGGAGCUUUACCACAUCUUUUAAUUUUGGUUAUUGAACAUGAGCAGCCCAAUUUGUGGACAUCAAAAUCAUCACUUUCUUUGUCAAAAGAAGUGCUUAGAAAGGUCAAGGACGUACUCUCAGUAAGUGGCAAUGAAGAACUUCUGCAGUACCAGAUUUCACAAAACCAUCUGUCAUCCAUUUUGGUACACAUUCAAAACACCUCAGUGAAAAGCUUAAAAGAGACACACAUGGAUGCUUUCCUUCCCUCAAAAUGGUGUAUAAAUGGUGUGUUUUCAAUACAAGGUUUCCAAACAUGAGUGAAGUCUUCCAAAAUUCCUUCCUACUGCUCUUCUGUUUACGGAUGAUCAUGUUUUGGAAAACAAGAUCUUAGGUGUCAGCUGUCUCUAUCACAUCAUGCAAAACACGAGCAGGGAAGAACUGCGCUGGUAUGGACAGGCGGAUGUCAUUUACGAGGCUUUGAAACAUCAAAUGUAUACUAGAGAAGCAAAACUAAUUGAUGUUUUGCAUCCUGCAUUACUUUAUAUAUUAUCAGUGGUUGAAAAAGAUCCCCAGUACUGCACUGAUUCGAAGGGACUCAUGCGAGUGCCAAACAAGUAUGAUGAGAUAUUUCACACUAUUCUUGCAGAUGCUUAUGGGGAGCAGAACUUGGCAUUGCGUAGGGCUCUUACUGGAUACUUAACUCAUUUUGUGGAAAAACUGGGCCUUCUUACCCUACGACACACAAACAUUCUCUUCAAAGUGAUUGAAGAAUACUUAGAGAGUUAUGAUGGAAAAAGACAUUCUGCUAAACCACAGAUUUUAAGACUGAUGAAAUCAGUGAUCAUUGCCACAUGGCCACGAAUGUCUCGUUAUGUGGAUUUCAUUUUGAAAGUCUUGGUCAGAUUGCUAAUUGACAUUUCAUCCAAGAAAUGUAUGACUUUGAACUUGUACAUACUUUAGAGGAACUGAGUACCCAGUGCUUAAUACUUAUCAAACAUGUCAAUUUGGAGUAUGUUGAAAAAAGCUUGCAGAAUAUCAUCAAGCUUGACAUACCACAGAGCUGUAGAUGUAUUUUAUCUGAUGCUUUACAAUUAAGUAUGUAGUCAUUUAAUAUACCAGUAUGUCAAGAAUUGUAUUGUUCAUAUUCCUGGAUAUUAUAGAAUUGAAUAAAAUUAAUUUAAAUUG